rnacentral:tRNA from 1 species
AGGAAUAUAGUUAAUCAUAACAUUUGGAUUGCACCCAAAAGGUACUUAGGUUAUUCUUU